CUCAACGGAGGAAAGCGGGAGCGCUUGGUCCCGGAGUGCUCUCAGAAUGUUAGCUGUGGUUCAUUGAUGCGCUUAACGAGGGGGUCUUGAGUACCUACUAUGGAUGAAGCAUUCCAGAAGUCUCUGCAGACACAGAGCUCAGCGGUUCUCCAAGCGUGGUGCUCCCUCAUGGCCAGCAGCAUCGGCAUCCUUCCAGAGCUUGUUAGAAAUGCAAAUUCUUGGAGCCCCUCGGUGGCUCAGUCCGUGCGACUCUUGAUUUCGGCUUGGGUGACCAUCUCACGGCUGAUAUUCAGGAAGAAACCAAAGGUGAUCUAUUGGCCACGGGACAGGAGAUUGGAUUUAACCCAUCAACUCUGACCCUCCGGGAGAAGCAAAGCAUUUCCAUUGGGGAGCUGUCUGACCAAUCCAGUUCUCCGUGUCUGCGAGGGAGUUAACCAAGAAUAUCAAAGGCAUUCUUGAAUCGGUCAUCUAUCACGAAACAUUCUCCUCCUCCCGUCCCCCACCCUGCGCCCAUCAUCCCCCUCCUCCCGAGCAGCAGCGGCCACAGGGGAGAAAAAAAAACCCCAACCAUUUACCAACAUGAUUAGCAGAGGAGACAAGGGAUGGUGACGCAGAUUAUUUAAGCCAAUUUGUGGCCAAGUGUGAGAAGAAUAUGUUUUUUCUCCUUCAAAAAUGGCUGAAUAGCCAGCCUCUGUCUUCG